rnacentral:rRNA from 1 species
CAAUAGCGUAUAUUAAAGUUGUUGCAGUUAAAAAGCUCGUAGUUGGAUUUCUGGACUGGUCGGCCGGUCCGCGACAUGUUCGUGUGUACCUGGUGUGAUUAGUCCAUCCUUGAUGGGAACUAUGGUCACCGUUAAUUCGGUGCUGUAGGGAACAUCAUCGUUUACUGUGAGAAAAUAGAGUGUUUAAAGCAGGCGUUUGCUCUGAAUACGUUAGCAUGGAAUAAUAAGAUAGGACUUUGGUGCUAUUUUGUUGGUUGCAGCCCAAGGUAAUGAUUAAUAGGGACAGUUGGGGGCAUUAGUAUUUAAUUGUCAGAGGUGGAAUUCUCGGAUUUGUUAAAGACUAACUUAUGCGAAAGCAUUUGCCAAGGAUGUUUUCAUUAAUCAAGAACGAAAGUUAGGGGAUCAAAGACGAUCAGAUACCAU